CCCUUAGAUGUUCUGGGCCGCACGCGUGCUACACUGGCUGUCUGAGAAGGUUUUGGUUGUGUGCGUCUGGACGCAAGCGUCCGGGCGCACCUCCUCUGCCGAGAGGCACGGGCAAUCCGCAAGGACAGCCGUGAUGGGGAUCGACUGUUGCAAUUUUCAGUCGUGAACGAGGAAUUCCUAGUAAACGCGAGUCAUCAGCUCGCAUUGAUUGCGUCCCUGCCCUUUGUACACACCGCCCGUCGCUACUACCGAUCGAAUGUCUUAGUGAGUGUUCUGGAUUGCUGUGAAUUGGGCGUGAGCCUGGUUUGCGGUGAGAAGGGGAGCGAACUUGGGCGUUUAGAGGAAGUAAAAGUCGUANCA
rnacentral:rRNA from 1 species